rnacentral:lncRNA from 1 species
CAGGCGCUCUGCCCCGCCGUGGGGUUUUGGGGGUGCUGUGGAGAAGGCAGGGCUCGGGACUCUUCCACCUCCUUGGCUGCUCUGGCCUUUGAGUUAUGCUCUAAGAUUAUCGAUUACUUUUCCGUUGUUGCUUAUUUCCCACAGCAGCAGAAUGAGAACGGUUAUUAGUUAAUAGCCAUCAGAGACAGACCAAGUGGAACACAGUCCUCGGAAAAACGCCACUCUGUAGCAUUAGUAAUUAAAACCUCACAAGGUUUGUAUUUCCUGAAGGAGGCCGUCAGUGUCAAUGCUGUACUAACGACGGUACUGUACAGUGAACCACAAAGUCUGAAAAACUGUUGUUGACGACUUCUCAGUCCUUUAUGUGGAGCUGGGGGCAGGAAGAAUUGCUUCUGGAAGCUGAUGGAGUUGGACAUGUGGCUUUCUAGAAUCUGGAUGUGAUGGUGCAGGAAAAACUCCUGCCCAUUGAGAGGGCUCCGUAAGUGCUUCCCAAAAGAGAAUGAGAAGGAAAAGGAGAUCUCCACAGGAACUGCCUCCUUGGAUCCAGGGCAAAAAUGAACCUCCUAUUGGAGAGAAGUGCCCAGCUUGUCAAGAAGUUGAAUCGGUGCAACCAGCGUUUGUGAAAGCAGCAUUUCCCAUUUCACAUAAAGUCAGCUUCUGGCCAACUGGACAAGUCUGAACAAAUAUGAAACCCACUAAAAGGCCAGUGACAGGUGCACACACUACUGACUCUGGCUAGAGGCUGUGGCAGGAAUUGGACUCAUGUCAUCCAGCGACAGUUCCACCAGCAUCUCUUGUGGCUUCCCAAGGACCAGCCUGAGGCAAACUCCUCAGUGGUGUGAAGACUUUCCAUGUCACUGGAAACCCACCACAGAGUUCUACCAAGUAACCAUGCCUCCACCAGUCCACAACAAACUUUUAAGGCCUCUCCAGUUAUGCCUGCAACCAUCCCACAUUAGCAACCUAAGUAGGCCACCAGUAGAGCUGGUCAAGAGAAAGGAUAGGUUCAAUUAAUUAUUUUUUAAUUAAAAAAAAAUAGAGACAGGGUCUUGUUAUGUUGCCGAGGCUGGUCUUGUACU